GGUUGUAUAGCGCAAUAAUAACGCGCUCGUUUUUGUAACGGGAAAACCUGGGUUCGAUUCCCGGUGCAACCU
rfam:Gaeumannomyces graminis var. tritici R3-111a-1 unplaced genomic scaffold supercont2.1, whole genome shotgun sequence.